rnacentral:rRNA from 1 species
UUGAAAGGGAAACGAUUGAAGUCAGUCGUACCAGCGGGAAAUCAACCUUUCGAGUGGUGUUUUGGAGUUUUGAAGUGUGUCAAAACCUUUGAGAUUUUAAAAUUUUCGCUCUUUUGGUGUACUUUCUCGUGGGUAGGUUAACAUCGAUUUUGAUCAUCAUAAAAAGAUUGGAGGAAUGUAGCUUCGAUCUUGUAUUGAAGUGUUAUAGCCUUUGGUAAAUGUGAUGAUUAGGAUCGAGGAUUGCAACGAAUACCCUUCUGGGCUAUCCGCCUGAUCUCUGAUACGUGGCCUUGGCAUCGAAAGCUUGCUUAUGGUAUCAAGGUAUUACGGUCAAAAGGUUAGAACGGAUUACAUUCGUUAAGGAUGUUGACGUA